AAAAUAUGCAUGCAGUUCACCAGUCGAGUAUUCAUUCACACUGCUAUAAAAACCAAAACGAGAAAAACAAAAAACUAAUUAAUCAUGUCGGAAAAACAACAUAGCUUUCCUCCAUCCUUGAAAAAACACUAAAACCAAAUUACAUGGCAUGUUUCGUACCAUGUUUUUUCUUGAAAAAAACCCCAACACUCUCUUACCUCUCCAGUAUUCCCUGAACUUCCUCUCUCUUUGCACAAAGAAGCAGGACAAAAAUCAAAAGCAGAGGGGGCAACGAAGACAAAGGGAUCUUUUUUUGAGAGGGGGGGGUGGAUAGGGUGGCUAGAUCCGGGGACGUGAAAACAGGAAGGUGCUUUUUGAUGGGGGAGUUAAGAGGGUGUCGGGGAGUCGAUGAAAAAGGAGGAGUUGUUUCUGAGACGAGGGUUGACAGAUUCGGGAACAAUGAAAAGGGAGGACGUACAAGCUGUUGAGAGCAUACAAUAAAAUAAACUUCAGUUUGGGGAUUUUGUUAUCUGUAUCAAAGUUUCUUUUCUUUUCUUUUUCCUUCAUUCGGCCAGUGAUGUGGGUUCUCCUGGCUGCUCUUGUUUGCUGCUGCUUUUUAAUUAUGGCUUGCUUGAUGAAUUUAUUCUAAGAUUUAUCGUGUUUUUCAUUAUUAUUGUAGAGUAUGAGGUAAGAUGAAGAAGGAAAAUGUGUCAAGGUCAGACGAGGCUAUCAAUAGUCAAGUGGAGAGUAUCCCAAUUGAGAAUCACUUGAUCAAAUACUUAGAGAUUUCUCCAUAGAGAUGAUGUCAACGAGGAUUGCAUGGACAUUUGUAGCUGUAGCAGGUUCUGGUUAUUUCCAAGAAUUUAUAGGAUGAAUUAGUCUUCAUGGCGGCCGCCUGUGGUUGCCAAGGAAUUUUGUCGCUUCUUAGACUGUAAACUUUAUAGAUUUUUUUUUGCAAUGUUUUUUUUUUGUUAGAAACCAAGCUUUAUUAUGUCUGUCUAGCAUCAAUUCUAGUUCUUGGUUUGUUACAACUUUUUAUGCUUGCACGUGCCUAUCCAUAGUAUGUAAAACUGCCAUUCCAUAGAAAUAGACAAAUUCCUCCGCGGCUAA